UUGUGGAGGAGGACGCCGAAGGUGGGGCUAAUGACUGGGGUGAAGUCGUAACAAGGUAGCCGUACCGGAAGGUGCGGCUGGAUCACCUCCUAACAGGGAGACAACAAAAUGUUUAAUAUUAUUAUUUUGUCACCUUAGGUCGAUCGGUAUCUCACAUUCUUAAUUUAUUAAGAAUUUCAUUUCCUAAGUUUUCUAGGUCACACCCAUUAUUUUUCCUGGGCCAUUAGCUCAGGUGGUUAGAGCGCACCCCUGAUAAGGGUGAGGUCCCUGGUUCAAGUCCAGGAUGGCCCAUAUCUCUAUGUUGGGGGUAUAGCUCAGUUGGUAGAGCGCCUGCUUUGCAAGCAGGAUGUCAGCGGUUCGAGUCCGCUUACCUCCACUGAUUACCACCUCUUCCAUAACCGGUAGAAAGGAAAUGUUUUGAGUUGUGAUCAUUUUUCUGAACGAAUCUAGCUUCCUAAUGAAAUCAUUAAGAUGCUGGACUCAUUGAAUUAAUUUCAUUGUUUUCAGAGAACCUUGACAACUGCAUAGAUUAUUUUUAAAGACAAUAAGCAUCUUUAAAUGAUGCAGAUUUAUUAUUUGUGCAAAUGCAUUAAUAACAGUUCUAUUAAGCUGAUGCUUCAAUAUUGAAGUUAUUGGUCAAGCUACAA
rnacentral:misc_RNA from 1 species